AGAGUUUGAUCCUGGCUCAGGACGAACGCUGGCGGCGUGCUUAACACAUGCAAGUCGAGCGGAAAGGCCCUUCGGGGUACUCAAGCGGCGAACGGGUGAGUAACACGUGAGCAAUCUGCCCUUAGCUUCGGGAUAGCUCCGGGAAACCGGAAUUAAUACCGGAUAUGACUGUGGCUGACAUCAGCCACGGUGGAAAGUUA
rnacentral:rRNA from 1 species